UACGUAGGGUGUGAGCGUUGUCCGGAUUUAUUGGGCGUAAAGAGCUCGUAGGCGGUUUGUCGCGUCGGCCGUGAAAUCUCCACGCUUAACGUGGAGCGUGCGGUCGAUACGGGCAGACUUGAGUUCGGUAGGGGAGACUGGAAUUCCUGGUGUAGCGGUGAAAUGCGCAGAUAUCAGGAGGAACACCGGUGGCGAAGGCGGGUCUCUGGGCCGAUACUGACGCUGAGGAGCGAAAGCGUGAGGAGCGAACAGG
rnacentral:rRNA from 1 species